CUACGGGUCGCUCCAGUGGGGAAUAUUGGACAAUGGGGGAAACCCUGAUCCAGCAAUGCCGCGUGUGUGAAGAAGGCCUGCGGGUUGUAAAGCACUUUCGGUUGGGAGGACUGCUUCUAGCACUAAUAUUGUUGGAAGUUGACGUUACCUUCAGAAGAAGCACCGGCUAACUCCGUGCCAGCAGCCGCGGUAAUACGGAGGGUGCAAGCGGUAAUCGGAAUUACUGGGCGUAAAGCGCGCGUAGGCGGCUAGAUCAGUCGGGUGUGAAAGCCCCGGGCUUAACCUGGGAACUGCAUCCGAUACUGUCUAGCUUGAGUACAGGAGAGGAGAGUGGAAUUCCACAUGUAGCGGUGAAAUGCGUAGAUACGUGGAGGAACACCAAUGGCGAAGGCAGCUCUCUGGCCUGAUACUGACGCUGAGGUGCGAAAGCGUGGGGAGCAAACAGGAUUAGAUACCCGUGUAGUC
rnacentral:rRNA from 1 species